AUUCUUGGUGUCUCUUCAGAUCGAAUAAUCUUUGCUUUUUGCUAAGAGUUUUCGUGAAGUAAACCUUCUAUGAGUUCCAUACAAAAAAUUUUUUGAGGCUCUGCCCAUGCAGAGCU